rnacentral:rRNA from 1 species
AUACGUAGGGGGCGAGCGUUGUCCGGAAUUACUGGGCGUAAAGGGUGCGUAGGCGGCCGAUUAAGUCAGAUGUGAAAUACCACGGCUCAACUGUGGGGGUGCAUAUGAAACUGGUUGGCUUGAGUGCAGGAGAGGGAAGUGGAAUUCCUAGUGUAGCGGUGAAAUGCGUAGAGAUUAGGAGGAACACCAGUGGCGAAGGCGACUUUCUGGACUGUAACUGACGCUGAGGCACGAAAGCGUGGGGAGCAAACAGGAUUAGAUACCCUGGUAGUCCACGCCGUAAACGAUGGAUACUAGGUGUAGGGGGUAUCGACCCCCCCUGUGCCGGAGUUAACGCAAUAAGUAUCCCGCCUGGGGAGUACGGCCGCAAGGUUGAA